UACGUAGGGCGCAAGCGUUGUCCGGAAUUAUUGGGCGUAAAGAGCUCGUAGGCGGUCUGUCGCGUCGGAUGUGAAAGCCCGGGGCUUAACCCCGGGUCUGCAUUCGAUACGGGCAGACGUAGAGUGUGGUAGGGAGAUCGGAAUUCCUGGUGUAGCGGUGAAAUGCGCAGAUAUCAGGAGGAACACCGGUGGCGAAGGCGGAUCUCUGGGCCAUUACUGACGCUGAGGAGCGAAAGCGUGGGGAGCGAACAGG
rnacentral:rRNA from 1 species